rfam:Camelus ferus unplaced genomic scaffold scaffold633, whole genome shotgun sequence.
GAAGGUAUAGCUCGGUGGUAGAGUAUGUGCUUAGCGUGCACAAGGUCCUGGGUUCAAUCCCCAGUACCUCCA